GACGAACGCUGGCGGCGUGCUUAACACAUGCAAGUCGAACGAUGAAGCUGGAGCUUGCUCCGGUGGAUUAGUGGCGAACGGGUGAGUAAUACGUGGGUGAUCUGCCCUGCACUUCGGGAUAAGCCUGGGAAACUGGGUCUAAUACCGGAUAGGACUCCGGACUGCAUGGUCUGGGGUGGAAAGCUUUUGCGGUGUGGGAUGGGCCCGCGGCCUAUCAGCUUGUUGGUGGGGUAACGGCUCACCAAGGCGACGACGGGUAGCCGGCCUGAGAGGGUGGUCGGCCACGCUGGGACUGAGACACGGCCCAGACUCCUACGGGAGGCAGCAGUGGGGAAUAUUGCACAAUGGGCGCAAGCCUGAUGCAGCGACGCCGCGUGAGGGAUGACGGCCUUCGGGUUGUAAACCUCUUUCAGCACCGACGAAGCGCAAGUGACGGUAGGUGCAGAAGAAGGACCGGCCAACUACGUGCCAGCCGCCGCAGUAA
rnacentral:rRNA from 1 species